GACGAACGCUGGCGGCGUGCUUAACACAUGCAAGUCGAACGGAAAGGCCCUGCUUUUGUGGGGUGCUCGAGUGGCGAACGGGUGAGUAACACGUGAGUAACCUGCCCUUGACUUUGGGAUAACUUCAGGAAACUGGGGCUAAUACCGGAUAGGAGCUCCUGCUGCAUGGUGGGGGUUGGAAAGUUUCGGCGGGUGGGGAUGGACUCGCGGCUUAUCAGCUUGUUGGUGGGGUAGUGGCUUACCAAGGCUUUGACGGGUAGCCGGCCUGAGAGGGUGACCGGCCACAUUGGGACUGAGAUACGGCCCAGACUCCUACGGGAGGCAGCAGGGGGGAAUAUUGCCCAAUGGGCGGAAGCCUGAUGCAGCAACGCCGCGUGCGGGAUGACGGCCUUCGGGUUGUAAACCGCUUUCGCCUGUGACGAAGCGUUAGUGACGGUAAUGGGUAAAGAAGCACCGGCUAACUACGUG
rnacentral:rRNA from 1 species